rnacentral:rRNA from 1 species
GACGAACGCUGGCGGCGUGCUUAACACAUGCAAGUCGAACGGAAAGGCCCUGCUUUUGUGGGGUGCUCGAGUGGCGAACGGGUGAGUAACACGUGUGUAACCUGCCCUUGACUUUGGUAUAACUUCAGGAAACUGGGGCUAAUACCUUAUAGGAUCUCCUGCUGCAUGUUGUGGGUUGUAAAGUUUCGGCGGUUGGGGAUGGACUCGCGGCUUAUCAGCUUGUUGGUGGGGUAGUGGCUUACCAAGGCUUUGACGGGUAGCCGGCCUGAGAGGGUGACCGGCGACAUUGGGACUGAGAGACGGCACAGAAUCCUACGGGAGGCAGCAGUGGGGAAUAUUGCACAAUGGGCGGAAGCCUGAUGCAGCAAAGCCGCGUGCGGGAUGACGGCCUUCGGGUUGUAAACAGAUUUCGCAUGUGACGAAGAGUGAGUGACGGUAAUGGGUAAAGAAGCAACGGCUAACUACGUG